AGCUGUCCCUAGUACGAGAGGACCGGGACGGACAGACCUCUGGUGUGCGGGUUGUCCUGCCAAGGGCAUAGCCCGGUAGCUAAGUCUGGAAGGGAUAAGCGCUGAAAGCAUCUAAGUGCGAAGCCCACCCCAAGAUGAGACUUCCCAUCCCGUAAAGGGAGUAAGGCCGCAGAUAGAAGAUCUGCUUGAUAGGCUGCACGUGUAAGUCCUGUAAGGGAUUCAGCCGAGCAGUACUAAUGGCCGAGGGCUUAAGCCAA
rnacentral:rRNA from 1 species